rnacentral:rRNA from 1 species
UGGGAGUAAAAUUUAAAUGCUUGAAUAUUAAUAGUUAUAUUCUUUAAAAUCAAAGAAUUUGGCGGUAUUUUAGUCUUGUUAGAGGAACUUGUUCUAUAAACGAUAAAACACGCAGAAUCUUACUUAUCUUGGUAAAUUUUACAGUUUGUAUACCGUCAUUAUUAAAUAAUCUUGAAAAAGUUAAUUAUUGGGAUUAAAAAAAUUAAAUAUAUUAGAUCAAGGUGCAGCUGAUAGAUAAGUAGAAAUGAGUUACAAUAAUACUUAUUUAUAACGGAUUGAAGAUAGAAUUAUUUUCAAAGAAGGUGGAUGUAAUUGUAAAAAAAGUUUAAUAAGCUUUUUUGGUAUAAGCUCUAAAUUAUGUACAUAUCGCCCGUCACUUUCAUUUAAAAUGAAAUA